ensembl:miRNA
UUCUCAGGUGUGACUCCCAGGUGGCUGCUCUGCAGGUAACGUGGAAGGUUUCACCUGUAAGAG